rnacentral:rRNA from 1 species
AUUGAACGCUGGCGGCAUGCUUUACACAUGCAAGUCGAACGGCAGCGGGGAGGAGCUUGCUUCUCUGCCGGCGAGUGGCGAACGGGUGAGUAAUACAUCGGAACGUGUCGAGAAGAGGGGGAUAACCACCCGAAAGGUUGGCUAAUACCGCAUAAAUUCUGAGGAAGAAAGCUGGGGACCUAGGAAUAGGCCUAGCGCUUUUUGAGCGGCCGAUGUCGGAUUAGCUAGUUGGUGAGGUAAAGGCUCACCAAGGCGAAGAUCUGUAGCGGGUCUGAGAGGAUGAUCCGCCACACUGGGACUGAGACACGGCCCAGACUCCUACGGGAGGCAGCAGUGGGGAAUUUUGGACAAUGGGGGCAACCCUGAUCCAGCCAUGCCGCGUGUAUGAAGAAGGCCUUAGGGUUGUAAAGUACUUUUGUUAGGGAAGAAAAGUCAGCUGUGAAUAAUGGCUGAUACUGACGGUACCUAAAGAAUAAGCACCGGCUAACUACGU